GCUACGGGGUGCAGCAGUGAGGAAUAUUGGUCAAUGGGCGAGAGCCUGAACCAGCCAAGUCGCGUGAGGGAGUACUGCCCUAUGGGUUGUAAACCUCUUUUGUCGGGGAGCAAAAGCCGGACGUGUCCGGCUGUGAGAGUACCCGAAGAAAAAGCAUCGGCUAACUCCGUGCCAGCAGCCGCGGUAGUACGGAGGAUGCGAGCGUUAUGCGGAGUUAUUGGGUUGAAAGGGGGCGCAGGGGGGUUUUUAUGUCAGCGGUCAAAUGGUGGGGGUCAACCCCAUCCAGCCGGUGGAACUGGGGAUCGAGAGGGGGCGUGAGGUAUGCGGAAUGCGUGGUGUAGCGGUGAAAUGCAUAGAUA
rnacentral:rRNA from 1 species